rnacentral:rRNA from 1 species
UGAUAGUGCGACGCCGCGUGAACGAGGAAGCCCUUCGGGGUGUAAAGUUCUUUUAUAUGUGAGCAGUGGUUCUUAUAUUAAUAGUAUGGGGACAGAGAUAUUAGCAUAUGAAUAAGCAACGGCUAACUCCGUG